GAGUACGAAGUCAUUGUUCUGGGUACUGGUCUCAAGGAGUGCAUCCUUAGUGGUCUUCUCUCCGUCGAUGGUAUUAAGGUUCUUCACAUGGACAGGAAUGACUACUACGGUGGAGAGUCAACAUCUCUUAAUCUCAAUCAGCUGUGGAAUAAGUUCAGGGGAGAAGAAAAGGCUCCUGCUCAUUUAGGCUCUAGCAG